rnacentral:lncRNA from 1 species
GCAAUUGGCCACACCUAGAUCCGUAUUAAUUCCAACAAUUCAAAGAUAAUGGCUAUUGCUAACAGUUCACUAACAGAAUUUAACUCUUUGGGUAUAUUUGAAAUAACUUGGAACGAACGUAAAAAAAAGUAUUUUAAUAUUAGCCUUUUUAGAGGGGCAAAUUAAAAAGUCGGAAACUUUUCGGGAAUAUACAAGCAAUUGCCCCUAAAAAGAUUUAUCUGUAUCACCGGCAUGCUAAUCUUUUAUUAUUUUCUGGCCAUAUGACUAAUGCUA